GCCGGUGGGAUGGGAGACAGGGAACCAGAGCUGGAAUUGCGCAUGAUGAAACAGCAGUACUGAUCAUAAUCGCGGAACCCAGCGCUGACUCAGCACUUGCUGUCUACACCUAGUCG
rnacentral:lncRNA from 1 species